UGGGGAAUAUUGGACAAUGGAGGAAACUCUGAUCCAGCAAUUCUGUGUGUGUGAAGAAGGUUUUAGGACUGUAAAACACUUUUAGUAGGUAAGAAAAAAAUGACGGUACCUACAGAAGAAGCAACGGCUAAAUACGUGCCAGCAGCCGCGGUAAUACGUAUGUUGCGAGCGUUAUCCGGAAUUAUUGGGCUUAAAGGGCAUCUAGGCGGUAAGACAAGUUGAAGGUGAAAACCUGUGGCUCAACCAUAGGCUUGCCUACAAAACUGUUGAACUAGAGUACUGGUAAGGUAGGUGGAACUACACGAGUAGUGGUGUAAUUCGUAGAUAUGUGUUGGAAUGCCGAUGAUGAAGAUAACUCACUGGCCAGAAACUGACGCUGAAGUGCGAAAGCUAGGGGAGCAAACAGG
rnacentral:rRNA from 1 species